UACGUAGGGGGCAAGCGUUGUCCGGAUUUAUUGGGCGUAAAGAGCGUGUAGGCGGCCAGAUAGGUCCGUUGUGAAAACUGGAGGCUUAACCUCCAGCGGUCGAUGGAAACCAUCUGGCUAGAGUCCGGAAGAGGAGAGUGGAAUUCCUGGUGUAGCGGUGAAAUGCUUAGAUAUGAUGUAGAACACCGAUUGCGAAGGCAGCUCACAAAAUCGCAACUGACGCUGAGGCACGAAAGCGUGGGGAGCAAACAGG
rnacentral:rRNA from 1 species